UGGGGAAUAUUGGACAAUGGGCGCAAGCCUGAUCCAGCCAUGCCGCGUGCAGGAAGAAGGCCUUCGGGUUGUAAACUGCUUUUGUACGGAACGAAAAGGCUCUUUCUAAUAAAGAGGGCCCAUGACGGUACCGUAAGAAUAAGCACCGGCUAACUACGUGCCAGCAGCCGCGGUAAUACGUAGGGUGCGAGCGUUAAUCGGAAUUACUGGGCGUAAAGCGUGCGCAGGCGGUUCUAUAAGACAGAUGUGAAAUCCCCGGGCUCAACCUGGGAAUGGCAUUUGUGACUGUAGAGCUAGAGUACGGUAGAGGGGGAUGGAAUUCCGCGUGUAGCAGUGAAAUGCGUAGAUAUGCGGAGGAACACCGAUGGCGAAGGCAAUCCCCUGGACCUGUACUGACGCUCAUGCACGAAAGCGUGGGGAGCAAACAGGAUUAGAUACCCCCGUAGUCCCUGAGCGGGCUGGCAAGGCGCAU
rnacentral:rRNA from 1 species